GAGAGCAUCAGAUCACAUUACGGAUGGUUGUGAGCCACCAUGUGGUUUCUGGGAAUUUAACUCAGGACCUCUGGAAGAGCAGCCAGUACUCUUAACUGCUGAGCCAUUUCUCCAGCCCCACUGUCUAUAUAUUUUUGUGGAGGGAAAAAACACCAACAAGAGGUUUAAUUCAUUACCAGCUGACAGCAUGCAAGCAGACACUGUUCUGGAAAAGCAGCUGAGAGUCCUACAUCCGGCUCCGCAGGCAGCAAGAGGAGAGCAAGAAACCAGUGGACCUGACUUGGGCUUUUGAGAACCUCAAAGGCCACCUUCAGUGGCACACUUCUUCUAACAAGGCCAAACUUCCUAAUCCUUUCAGAAAGUGCCACUCCCUGUUGUGACCAAACAUUCAAAUCUAUGAGCCUAUGGAGGCCAUUCUUAUUCAAACCACAAAUGGAUAACGACAAUGUUGUAUGCAGCUAUAACCAGUCAUAAAACUAACUCUUUGGUGGAGGUUGGUGACCAGUGACAGGAAGUGGAAAAGAAGGGUGAGUAGAAUCAACGUGUACUACCUACAUGUAUGAUGAUGCCACAAAGAAAUCUGUUAUUGUGUGUGUUACUUUAAAAAGCAAAGUACACUUUCUGAGUACAAGAAAAUGGAUUUGGGAUGAAUUAAUAUAUGAAAUCAAAGCCAAGUCUUCUUUCCUGGUUAUGUUUUAGUUGUUGGUGGUGAAAACUUCCUUUCUAUAAUUAUGAGCUUUUGCAACCAAGUAUAUAGACAUUUUAUUUACUGAGAUAGAGAAAGACAUGGCUAUUUAAGGGGAGGAAAAUGAUUUGCUAUGAACAUCAUAAUAACAUUUUAUAUUAAAGUCUCACCUGAUAUAUUUGUCUGGAUGAUAUGUUAAAAUGAUGUUUGGUAGUUUUCACAGACUGCAUCUGGUGCUACUUUAAUUGAAUUUAUUAUGAAGUAUUUUAUUCUUUUUGUGUUACUCUAAAUGAAUUUAAAAAUUUUGCUUCUGCGUUGUCCCUUGUAAAGUACAUAAAAAUACUAUUGGUUUUCA